rnacentral:rRNA from 1 species
CAGUAGCCGCGGUAAAACGAGGGGGGCAAGCGUUGUUCGGAAUUAUUGGGCGUAAAGGGCGCGUAGGCGGUUUGGCAAGUUUGGUGUGAAAUCUUCGGGCUCAACUCGAAGUCUGCACCGAAAACUGCCGGGCUUGAGUAUGGGAGAGGUGAGUGGAAUUUCCGGUGUAGCGGUGAAAUGCGUAGAUAUCGGAAGGAACACCUGUGGCGAAAGCGGCUCACUGGACCAUUACUGACGCUGAGGCGCGAAAGCUAGGGGAGCAAACAGGAUUAGAUACCCCGUAGUCCCUGUCUCUUAUACA